rnacentral:lncRNA from 1 species
UGUUGCUCUGUUCGAUUUGGUGGUUCCCCAUGUCCCAUUAGAUACCUUCCCAAUGGCUAGGGCCUCCAUGUUAUAUAUGGUGUUCACGGUGAGAUAAAGUUUGAGGUCGAUUUGAUCCGUAGUUAUUCUUUGCGACUAAGUUGACAUAUUGCUAUAUGUGAGCACACUUAUAGAUUUUGGUCCUCUGGAUAUGGUAUUUUUUUACUACGCUUUACAGAUAUGGCUUUUUUUGUAGACAUUAUUAUGCGAAAAAAUUGCUACGAGGGUACUAUCAGUAAUAGCUUUUGUUUUCUAUCUGUUCUCCACUGGCCAUUUUCUGUGCAGUUUGUUUUCUUUUAUAUUUGUGCUUGGUUACAAGUUUUUGUGUACUUGUUAUAGAUCUCUCUCUCUCUCUCUCUCUCUGACCAAUGAUCUUGGCUCGCAGGUCACCGAGGCAGACGAGGUUAUGGAUUACCUGAUGAGGUACUACUGAAUACUGAUGAUCUUACAUGUCUCUCUCUCUCUCUCUCAUGUCAAGUUCAAUUCCCUCUUAUUUUGCAGAAUGGAAUAUUUUGUUGCUUUUUGCAAUGCUAUAUUUGUUAUAUACUGUGUGAUGGAAGUAUAUGUUUUCCUGCCUUUGGACGCAGAAGCGAGCCAUCGCCGGCGGGCUAACGCUGUUGCACGUCAUGGCGGGGACGGCCUUGUGGCAGUCGUGCGUGCGCUACUCGAGUUGGGCACCGAUGUGGAGGCCCCUGGUCAGAAGGGACGCGGCUGGAGCUGCUGCUGGAGGAGACGCGGAAGCGUUGGACCCGACUCCUUUGUGCAGCCAUGCUAGCCUGCUGGAAGAUCCAUGGCCUGCCUGGCCAGCGUGACCAUUGAACAAAUCGUCUCUCAAAACCCUCCCUCCUCCUCGUAAGUGUUGAUUUCAAUUGUUUGCACCAACUUCUGCUUUGUCCGCAAUGUUACAGAUGCUUGUAGAUUUAGCAAAUAUAAUUUCUUAUUAUAUGUUUUCACAUUUGAAUUUGCAUCCUGGUUUUGCUUCGAGGAUUGUAGUUCA